UCCCUCUUAGCUCAGGGGUAGAGCGCAUCACUAGUAAUGAUGAGGUCAGUCGUUCAAAUCGGCUAGCGGGAA